CCUACGGGAGGCAGCAGUGAGGAAUAUUUGUCAAUGGACGAGAGUCUGAACCAGCCAAGUAGCGUGAAGGAUGACUGCCCUAUGAGUUGUAAACUUCUUUUAUAUGGGAAUAAAACGUUCCACGUGUGGGAUUUUGUAUGUACCAUAUGAAUAAGGAUCGGCUAACUCCGUGCCAGCAGCCGCGGUAAUACGGAGGAUCCGAGCGUUAUCCGGAUUUAUUGGGUUUAAAGGGAGCGUAGGUGGAUUGUUAAGUCAGUUGUGAAAGUUUGCGGCUCAACCGUAAAAUUGCAGUUGAAACUGGCAGUCUUGAGUACAGUAGAGGUGGGCGGAAUUCGUGGUGUAGCGGUGAAAUGCUUAGAUAUCACGAAGAACUCCGAUUGCGAAGGCAGUUCACUGGACUGCAACUGACACUGAGGCUCGAAAGUGUGGGUAUCAAACAGGAUUAGAUACCCCUGUAGUC
rnacentral:rRNA from 1 species